UACGUAGGGUGCGAGCGGUGUCCGGAAUUAUUGGGCGUAAAGAGCUCGUAGGCGGUGUGUCGCGUCGGUCGUGAAAACUUGGGGCUUAACCCUGAGCUUGCGGUCGAUACGGGCAUCACUGGAGUUCGGCAGGGGAGACUGGAAUUCCUGGUGUAGCGGUGAAAUGCGCAGAUAUCAGGAGGAACACCGGUGGCGAAGGCGGGUCUCUGGGCAACAACUGACGCUGAGGAGCGAAAGCGUGGGGAGCGAACAGG
rnacentral:rRNA from 1 species